AUGCCGUGCUAUCCCCGACGGCACCACCUGCACCCUCGGCUCCAACUGCAAGUACAUCUACUCCUACGGAGACGGCUCCAGGACGAGCGGCCUCAUCUCCACCGAGACCUUCACCUUCGCCCACGUCCCCGGCACCGCCCGCGGCCAUCGGGGCCGGAGGAAGCGCGUGGCCACCGUGAACUUCGGCUGCUCCACGGCCACGGCCGGCACUUUUGA
rnacentral:rRNA from 1 species